CGGCGGCGCUGUGGCCGACCGCGCUGCGCAUGCUGCAGGAAAGUCUGUGGAAGAAGAAAGAAGAAGAAUCAAAUAUGAAACUCAUGAAAUACAUCCUUAAUAAAGCCCUUAAAUUCCAUUACUCUAAACGUCUGGAAUUGACUUGAAGUACUGACAACUGUAGAGCACCAUCUAGUUUUGGCCUCUAGAACUGCAACCAAGUCUUCUGAUUCUCAAUGCGCUUCUCUCUCCUGCCACCUUGUGAAGGAGAAUGUGU
rnacentral:lncRNA from 1 species